UGCCCAUUUCUACAGAGGAGACCGACCCAACUCAGGCGCCUUAUCCCCAACGGCCAGCGGGUGCCCGUAUCUACCCUAGUCGGCGGCCGGCCGCCGGCAAGUGCUUACUCCGGCGACGCAGUCAAGCCGUGGCUGCCCACCGGAGGCCGUUCCGCCCGCGCAGCUCAGAUUCUCCGAGUUCUCGUCUUGCCGAGUACCCCGCUUCCCUCGCGUCUUACCGAGGAAGUAGCUGAGUAAUCCCCAUUGCCAUGGUGAAGGGUAUCGGUAUAUCUUUAGAAACGGCCACACAGUCCCAUGGAACAUCAGACAUGUAUGCAGAAGCUGAUGCCAAAUACCAGAAUUGACUAGCGUUGUUGCCCAGACAAAAGGCUGGGCCAACUAUACUAUCUUGAUCUAUUGGUAUGAAAUCUCUUGAACAACGUACUAGGGUUGUAGGAAAUGAUGAUUGAGGUUGUUCGUAGACAUCAGUUGCUAAGUUUCUUGAGAUGAGCUUCUGAAGUGGGCAUUGCAUUGAUGGUUCCACUAGCGGGACGACGUUGAUGACACGGUGCCUGUAAUAGAUCUCAGUCACUCUGCAAGGGCCAAGAACAUGGUGAUCCAGGAUUGUGUCAUGCCCCGAGCAUGAUAACUGCAUGCCUGGUGCACCACAUGAUGGUGGGUUGAUCGAAAGCCGGAACGGGAACCGGAUCUCAGGUCCAUGUUUGCUGCAGCGGUGAGAUGAACAAGUUCUUGAGAAAUCUUGUUCUUCCGAUGCUGCAUCCACAUAGGAUUCAUAGAUUAGAAGACAGACCAGCAGCAGUGUGAUAAGGAAUUUAGUGAAGUCCAUGGUAUGUAUUGGAGAUGAAGAUGGAAGAAGAGAAGGCAGGGAGUAUAGAAAGUGGUCACUUCUAUGCUUUAAACUCGAAUAUGUACUGAUGCUGUGCUUGUCAUGAUAGCUGUGUGCCUGAGUAGGACUUCCAGCUACCGCUGAAACUUCUUCCGUGUUCUGUGGUUAGGAAAGUUCUGUGGUUUCUGGAAAUGAAUGAACGCUAUCAUUGUUUA